rnacentral:rRNA from 1 species
GACAGAGGGUGCAAACGUUGUUCGGAAUUACUGGGCGUAAAGCGCGUGUAGGCGGCCCUGCAAGUCGGAUGUGAAAUCCCACGGCUCAACCGUGGAAGUGCACUCGAAACUGCAGGGCUAGAGUCCUGGAGAGGAAGGUGGAAUGCUUGGUGUAGAGGUGAAAUUCGUAGAUAUCAAGCGGAACACCGGUGGCGAAGGCGGCCUUCUGGACAGUGACUGACGCUGAGACGCGAAAGCGUGGGGAGCAAACAGG